UUAUCAUUCGAGUCCCGGGAGCAC
rnacentral:siRNA from 1 species